rnacentral:rRNA from 1 species
UCUCUCUGAAUCUGCGUACGGCUCCGCAAAACAGUUGUAAACUAUAGCAAGCACGCUUACUGGGCCGCGAGGUCCGGUGGGCUAUAUGGAUAACCCUGGUAAUUCUGAGGCUAAUACAAGAACGUACCACUUGUUCGACUGGGCAACCGGAAGAGCAGGGGGUGUGCAACACGACGCAAAAAUUACAGGGAAUCGGUGCACGCUCAGACCACCAUACAAACGGUUGACCUGGGCUUCCUGGGUGGCUCUUGCAAUGUGCUUCUGACCUAUCAACUAGAUGGCAGCGUAAGGGACAUGCUAUGGUUACAACGGGUACAGAGGAUAAGGGUUCGAUCCUGGAGAGUGGGCCUGAGAGAUU